rnacentral:lncRNA from 1 species
AUCCCCAAAUAUUGCUUUUUGUUUAAAAGCAACGUAGUUACCAAACACGUUUUUUGCUUUUACUCAAUAGCAAAAAUCAAAAAAAAUAAAAAGUACUUUUUGAAAAUCAAAAAGUGUAACCAAACGCACCCUAUGUUGCUGGAUUGUAUGAAAGUGCUGUAUGUAAUGAUCAACAAGAUGCUGCAUAUUUUCAUGGCAAUAAACAAUAAAUUGCAUCAACAUAUUUAAAUCAAACUCCAUCACCCCCCAAAACACACAAAUAACCUGGUAUAAAACAGAGCAGCAGAUUGCUUGCCACAAACUAUGACAUCCAUGUGUCCAUGUCUCAAAAUAGAAAAGUCAGACAAAAAACCACAUAAUAAAGCGAAACCAAGAUGCCAAAAUCAAACAACAAAAUCCACAUCAAAAUUCCAUAUCAAAAUCACUUUGCCAAACCACCGUAGUAAUAAAUAAGAAAACAGCGAGGGAAGUAAAAACAGCCCAGCCGAAGAAUAACUUCCUUUCAGAAUAAGAAUGAAAACCCCCGAUCAACAAGGGAGGAAGAAAAAAAAAAAAGGUGCCAUCAAAAUAACCUCACCAAUCAAAUGGCAAAACAAGAUAACAAGACACUGGAAACAGAAGCCAAAGAGAAGUUCCACUCACAGCCAUGGUGGUCCCAAAGAGCAGGUGUUUCUGUGACGCAGAGACAGGAAGAGGAAGGUAGUCCUUGUGAGUUGUGACCCUUCUAAAUGGGCGAUAAACGCUCCGCGGACGGGGCGGCAUUCGAUGGUUUUGAUGUCUAUUAGGGAAAGUGACGUGGGGAGAGCCAACCAACAAGGCAACAACCACCAACUUCGCUCACGCCGACACGUAUCCUUCCACUCGGUUCUUCCCCUGUAUCUUCUGCUUCUUGCCUCUUUAUUUUUGUCAAAAUCUUAUUCGCCUGCUCCUCUACGGCUAUCUGGUUGUUUUGAGUCACAUUGGUUUCACCCAUAAUACGAACAUGAAGCUUAUUGAUCAAUGCUUAGACUCCUAAUUAAUCGUCCUCUUUAUUCCAGCCUGGGGCUGCUGCCGGCUAAAGAGUAUUUGUUGAGAGACGAAGAUUUGUUAAUUUUCUAAGUUGUAGUUGUCAUUGGGAUUUAUUAUAUUAUGUACGGAUGAAGAUUUUGUUUGUGUGCGUGUUUUGUGAUUAAUUGUCUGCAAAUUCUGGAAAGGGAGUCCCAUGUCUCCUCUUAAAGACUGAGGUAAAGCUAUAUUGAUUGGAGAUAAAACGUUCUAAAAUAGUAAUUGCUAUUGAGGAAUAGGAUAAAAUUAUUUUCUCAGUUUCAUUUCUUUAUGGCUUUAAAGCCAGCAGUCCUUACUAGACUUUUGCUUGUCUCAAUUAGAUGCCAACUGGCUUGGAAAGCCCUUUCUAUGUUUUAUAGCUCACAAUUGCAUGUGAGCCUCCUGCAUCCAGAAAAAUAAUUAAAGAAGUAGUGGGAAUUAGUAAUAAAUAGCAAGUUGCAUGGUUUAAGGAGUUUAACUAUCUACUCGCCCAAUUAAAUAAAUGAAGCCUUCUCUUACGGCCUCAAAUAAAAUAAAUGCUUGGCAAAAAAAUGGAUGAUCAUGAAAUCUUGGCCUUGAUUUUGGAUGAGGAAAAUGAAGUAGAUAGCGGACUUGGUGGUUUGCUUCUUGUAUGGUUAUUGGCAUAAUAAUAACAUCCUAUCUUCUGAUUUCAUUUCCUAUCUGUUAGUUCCCAACAUCUAAACAAUUCCUACAAAAAUUACACUGCCCGUGAUUACGACUGUUACUAAUAGCAGAGUUUUUGUGGGAAAAAAAAUGGUGUUUAUAAGUGAUUCAAAACUAUUAUUGGAAUUCGGGCCAACUUCAAGCUGCGCUAAAUUCAACCCUACUGUUUUAUCAGUGGGGACAUUGGGCCUGGGCUUGGUCUGGCCCAUUGAAAAUCCCCAAUUAGCAAUGCGAAGGGAUUUGGCUUUGGCUGCCACCCAUUAUUAGCGCUUAGCAUGCGCCAUGUGGCUUUGGUCUGGGAUAAUCAAAUAUUGAGUACAUGGUGGGGGUAAUUACUUAAUGAGUCUAUAGUCAGUUCUUGGAAGCCUCUUUGAUAAUAAUAACAAUUAUUGGUUAAGAGAACACGGAAGGAGACUCAUUUUGCUCCAUUUAAUUUAGAAUCCAUGACAUUUGUGAUUUAACAAGGGAUGCAGUCAUUUCUUAAUAGGCUUUGAAGGUGCUCACAGGAUAUCUUAUGCAGUCCGAGGACUUGCUAGUUUGGUGACCAUAAGCAUUGCGACUUCUCCCAAACCAAUAGGGAUGGAAAGACAAAAUUGAAGCCCGAAGGAUUCACACUGUAUUCUCCCUCGCCUCAAUCGUCCAACGAGGGAUCGAUAUAAUGUAACCACAUUUGGAUGUUAUUUACGUUAGUCUACUAAAAUAUUCUGAAAACUAGCUCAUAUGUUUUGGCCAAACCAAUCAAAUGAGAACCGGGAAUUCAAUUUAUUGACCCGUGAGAAUAAAGAUGUGCAUAGAUGAUCCGGAUCCUGUUGAUAUUAAUUACUAAGAAACAUGACAUCUACAAGAAAAGACUACAACAAAAGAAUAUUACUUUGCUACUGAUUCUAAAGUCCCAAAGAGAAAUUCUGUUGAGCAAUACUCACUUUGUUUUAGAAAUUUUGGAAAAAAAGGAGGUAGAUCGAUAGCAAAAUUUCUCUUAAUACAGUCCCGAUAUUACUACAUCAAUUAGAGUCCGAGUGUAAUAUAUCACCAAACUGCAUGGCAAUGGAUGUGAAAUGAUGGAUCCCACAUGAUUAGCUUAAAGAGUGCACCAUUUAAAUCUCAAAUCCCAAACCUGAAAUUGCCAAAUGGAGAGAAAUGACCACCGAGGCCAGUUGCAAUUUUACAAAAACAAUCCUCGACUGCAAUGACCUUUCCAUCAGUAACUGAUGAAAUUUUUUCUGAUUUGAUUUCCAUGAUGUCUUUCAUCUCCUGCUCCUAUAUCUUGUGUAACUAUACAAACUCGUUCCAUUGGCUUGUUGCUUUUUACUGAAUCACAGCCCCUCCAUCUCACUAUUACACAUGUUGGCCUUUUACUGAUAGAAAUAAUGCUCUCCAUCCCUCCAUUCCAGACCCUGUAAUUCCUGCAGAACAUGAGAACACCAUGUUGCAACCAAACUAAGGUCACCAUGGGUGCUGAUACUCAUUACCUUGACUUCCAGUUCUCAGUUACAAUUUCCUGAUUACAGGAUAUCUUAUACAGUCUAAUCUGCCGUCUCUAAUCUCAGGUCUAAUCUGCCUUCUCCAAUCUCCAUUGCUGCGAAUUUCUUCAAAGCAUAAUAUAUACUUUCUAGUUCGACCACAGAUCCACAAGCAACAAGUAUUAUCAAAUUUACCAUUGGACCAUUGUUGUAGCAAAUAACUUGGAUGUUACCCAAGCCAGAAAGAACAUGAACUAGAAUUCAGAACUAGCUCCAAAAAACACUCAACUUCUCAAUGCAUUCUCUUCCAUACCAAAAGUUUGAUCUCCUCUGUAAGAAUCUUUUGGCCGCUCUAUCUUAAUCAGCUAAUCCAUCCCCCCACGCUCCCAUCCCCCAAAGAGAGAGAGGGGAGAAUGAAAUGCAACAACUUUGAUGUUAUGGGGACUCAAAAAAACUAAAUUUUUAUCUGACAGUGUGAAGUGUAUGGAAAGAGACAUGAGAUCCAAGAGAGCAUAUGUGAAAAUUGAACUAAAGCAUAUAAAGAUUCGAGGGGAAAAUAAAGAAGGAAAUCAACUUAGAUAGGUGUUUUAGUUUUCUUUCUCAUUCAUCAAAUUAGAGAUAUCCUUUUUGUACAAAGAAAACGGAAGAGAGAAGGAGAUCUGAGACAAACCGCAGAUCCAAUCCCACACCAUCCGAUCUUGAAACCUAUACCAUCCAAAUAGCUUCCAUUAUCCAAAGCCAGAUCCCAAACCCCCAUACAAAAUGAUCAAGGGAGCAAAAAAAAAAAAAGGAAAAAUGAAAAAACAAAGAUCGUAGGGAAUGAUCGGAAGAAGAGAUAGAGAAGAAAAGGAACCAUCUUUUUUUUUUUCUGUCCUUUCUUGUUUUCUCAC